rnacentral:rRNA from 1 species
GCACUCCCGGGGCGUCUCUAUCUCAUUGCGAGAGGAGGCGCACCUAGAGCGUACACGCUGAUACCCGAAAGAUGGUGAACUAUGCCUGGCCAGGACGAAGCCAGGGGAAACCCUGGUGGAGGUCCGCAGCGAUUCUGACGUGCAAAUCGAUCGUCGGAGCUGGGUUUAGGGGCGAAAGACCAAUCGAACCAUCUAGUAGCUGGUUCCCUCUGAAGUUUCCCUCAGGAUAGCUUGCGCUCGUCUGAAAAGAGUCUCAUCCGGUAGAGCGAAUGAUUAGAGGCCUUGGGGUCGAAACGACCUCAACCUAUUCUCAAACUCCAAAUAGAUGAGAACUCCGGCUUUCUUGAAUAAUAUCUUGAAGCCGGGGGCUCGGAUCAGAGUGCCAAGUGGGCCAAUUUUGGUAAGCAGAACUGGCGCUGUGGGAUGAACCAAACGUGGAGUUAAGGCGCCUCAAUCGACGCUUAUGGGAAACCAUAAAAGGCGUUGGUUGCUUAAGACAGCAG